rnacentral:rRNA from 1 species
UACGUAGGCUGCGAGCGUUGUUCGGAAUUACUGGGCGUAAAGAGUGUGUAGGCGGUGCUUUUAGUUCGGUGUGAAAUCUCCUGGCUUAACUGGGAGGGUGCGCCGGAAACUGGGGUGCUCGAGCGUGGGAGAGGAAAGCGGAAUUCCUGGUGUAGCGGUGAAAUGCGUAGAUAUCAGGAGGAACACCUGUGGUGUAGACAGCUUUCUGGACCAUUGCUGACGCUGAGACACGAAAGCGUGGGUAGCAAACAGG